GAUGAACGCUGGCGGCGUGCCUAAUACAUGCCAGUCGAGCGAACAGACGAGGAGCUUGCUCCUCUGACGUUAGCGGCGGACGGGUGAGUAACACGUGGAUAACCUACCUAUAAGACUGGGAUAACUUCGGGAAACCGGAGCCAAUACCGGAUAACAUGUUGAACCGCAUGGUUCAACAGUGAAAGACGGUCUUGCUGUCACUUAUAGAUGGAUCCGCGCCGCAUUAGCUAGUUGGUAAGGUAACGGCUUACCAAGGCAACGAUGCGUAGCCGACCUGAGAGGGUGAUCGGCCACACUGGAACUGAGACACGGUCCAGACUCCUACGGGAGGCAGCAGUAGGGAAUCUUCCGCAAUGGGCGAAAUCCUGACGGAGCAACGCCGCGUGAGUGAAGAAGGUCUUCGGAUCGUAAAACUCUGUUAUUAGGGAAGAACAAAUGUGUAAGUAACUAUGCACGUCUUGACGGUACCUAAUCAGAAAGCCACGGCUAACUACGUG
rnacentral:rRNA from 1 species